CCAAUAGCGUAUAUUAAAGUUGUUGCAGUUAAAAAGCUCGUAGUUGAAUUUCGGGAUCAAUAUAUUGGUCAUGCUUAGGUAUGUACUGGUAUUCUUGCUUUCUCCCUUCUGAAGAACCAUGAUGUCAUUAAUUUGAUGUCGUGGGGAAUCAGGACUGUUACUUUGAAAAAAUUAGAGUGUUUAAAGCAGGCUUUCGCUUGAAUACAUUAGCAUGGAAUAAUGAAAUAGGACGUUUGAUUCUAUUUUGUUGGUUUCUAGGAUCGACGUAAUGAUUAAUAGGGAUAGUUGGGGGCAUUAGUAUUCAAUUGUCAGAGGUGAAAUUCUUGGAUUGAUUGAAGACUAACUACUGCGAAAGCAUGUGCCAAGGAUGUUUUCAUUAAUCAAGAACGAAAGUUAGGGGAUCGAAGACGAGCAGAGACCGUCGUAGUCUUAACCAUAAACUAUGCCGACGAGGGAUCGGAUGAUGUUAAUUUUUUAAUGACUCAUUCGGCGCCUUACG
rnacentral:rRNA from 1 species